UACGAAGGGUGCAAACGUUGCUCGGAAUUAUUGGGCGUAAAGCGCACGUAGGCGGCAUUGCAAGUCGGAUGUGAAAUCCCUCGGCUUAACCAAGGAAGUGCAUCCGAAACUGCAGUGCUUGAGUACUUAAGAGGAUCGCGGAAUUCCCGGUGUAGAGGUGAAAUUCGUAGAUAUUCGCAAGAACACCAGUGGCGAAGGCGGCUCACUGGUCCGGUACUGACGCCGAGGUGCGAAAGCGUGGGGAGCAAACAGG
rnacentral:rRNA from 1 species